AUUUUGUAUUUUAUUAAAUACAGUUACACAAAGGAGGCGCUCAUUUAUUCAUUUUCCUCACUGCGCAGUCUGGCAUUUGGAUUGGUGAUCUUGAUAGCAAGCUGAGCUGCUCGCUGUACAAUUACCUUGCGGUUCUUGGAGGAACAUUAUGAGCAAUCUCUGCACAAUAAGACUUAGGAAGACCACACGUC